UAGUCAUGUUCAGAACUUUGCAUUCAUAUUGGUUUUUGUACAAGUAAGGCGAAUGACGAACUUACCGCAUUUACUAGACACAUCCAAUUAUAAUGCAUUCUCUUACCAUUUCUU
rnacentral:pre_miRNA from 1 species